rnacentral:tRNA from 1 species
UGGCGGUGUAGCUCAGCCUGGUAGAGCAAGCGGCUCAUAAUCGCUGUGUCACCGGUUCAAGUCCGGUCACCGCUACCC